UGCCCUCCCACCUGCCCACUCCCAUCCACUUGCUGCCCACUCUCACCCACACCCUCUCAUUCCCCUCCCUCGUCGCCUCUCCGCAUCGUCGCCGGCCACCGCAGCCCGUCGCGUUCUCACUCCGGCAGCCCACCGUGUUCUUCCUCCUGCAGCCCAGCGCUUGCUUCCUCUCCUUCCUUUCCCACCGCUUGCUUCCUCUCCUCCCUUUCCCAUCCCGAGGUCAAAAGAGUGGUUUUUUAUGCGCCGGUGAAGAGCUUCUGGGCGGCGGAGCUGGUGUGGGCGCCGACGCCGGAUCCGCGUGCGCGUACGCUGGAUCUGGGCGACGGAGCGGCCUGGACAGAGUGGAGCGGCGACGGAGUGGAGCAGCGGAGUGGCCCCCGGGAAGGAUGCAUGGCCGGUUGCGGGCACCCUAGGUGGGGCUGCGCUUCUAUGCGGCGACCUCAUCGAGACCAAGAAGCCGGUGUUGGUGAUGCUGCUGCACAUCGAUGACCUCCUCCCUCUCAUGCGUGCCCGUCGUCGUGCGCCGUGACAGGGAGAGGAGGACGACCCCAGCCAUGGAGUAGCAACAACUCAAGUUUAAGGUCAAAGUGAUGGUCAUGGGUGAAAUUAGGGACGAUGCCCAGCAGCAACAACUCACCAACACCUGCUCCGACGCCAUGGACCAACAGCAGCAACUGAAGGGAAGAUGAGGAAGCUCACCGACUGCAUCUUCGUCGGCAUCAAUGCCCUCGUGCAUGUCGAUGUCAUCUUCACCAGGAUCAAUGCUCUCGUGCAUGUCGAUAUCAUCGAUAUCAUCUUCAUCGGGACCGACUCCUCCAGGUUGUUGUGUCGUGCUGGAGAUGCUGCCUGCUUCGAGCUGUUGCUGUUGCUGCCUACUUCAAGCCCUCCAGGUACUCUGCACUGCCAAUUCCAUAUUCAUCUGAGCACGAUUUCGGUCUUGUAUGCCUGCUAGAGUUCUUGUACUCAGAAACUUUGUCUUGAUUGAUACUCUGCCAUCAAUUUUUUACUGUCUACAGUACCUGUACACUGAAACUGUCUUGAUUGAUACAGUACUCUGCCAACAAACUUUGUCUGGAGUAUUUUGAGCUUUUCCUUUUCAAACUUUUACUCCAGGAGGCGAUCUGGACCAAGUGGGGAGGCUAUCUGCAGCAGUACCUGGAGCUGCAUGGGAGGGCGCGGCGAUCUGGACCUGGGGCUGCCGAUCUGAAGCAGUACCCCCUCCGGCGAGCAGAUCCUCGAUCUGAAGCAGUACUCUCUGGAGCUGGCGAGGCCUUGGGAGGGGGACAACGAUCUGCAGCAGCACCCCCUCCGACAAGGCGAGUUGGUGAGGCCCCCUCCAGCGACAGGGGGCUGGAUUGGCGCAGGCGACAGGGGGUGGCCCUGGGAGAGGGGCGGCCCUGGGAUGGGGGGCGACCCUGUCGGCAGGAAGCAAGCAGCAGCGGCGAUUGGGAUGGAGAGGAUCUGCUCGGCGAGGAAGACGACGGCAAUAGCGAUUCAAAUUAGGGGCACUUUUGUACUUUCCUCCCUUUUCACCUGGUCGGGACGUUUUCUAAAACGUCAUAUAUUUCGGAACGGAGGGAGUACUAGGGAAGUACAUAUUCAGCCCCGGUGUUGUGGCGGCUGACUAGGCAGUUAGCUCUACAAAACCAGUCAAAGCCGACCACAAAACUGAUUUGAGGCACAUAAGGUUGAAAGUUGUCCGGUUUUGAGAGUUUAGGGCUGUAAUGUAGACGGUUUUGGAGCACGUGGUUGUAGAUUAAACUAAAGCAUGAGUUGAGGGUUGAAAUA